UUUUUUUUUUUUGUGUUUCCAAAUCAAGCAAUGAUAAUAUUUUGUUUGCUGUCCUGUUUUCUCUAUUUUGGCUUGGCUACUAGUCUUCCUGACUUCAUUGGAAAUCUUGGCAAUUGGUUUCUCGUUUAGCUUGCUCUGCAAUCUAUCUUAGUAACGUGGGAACCAAAUUUGAAACUUGAAAGCUUCCCAGAUACAACUUAAAUAAACUCCAAAACUCCACAUCAUAUAAGUUGAAGAUGAUGCUGGUAGAGAUCCCAGAAACUCUUUUUCGAAAAUGGAUUUAGGGUCUUUUAUUUAUUAUAUCUCAGCAAAACUAGCCCAUCAUUUUGUAACCAACCACAUAGGUCCGGUCAUCGUCAUCCGGGUGACCCGACCACCCGAAUUGCAGCAAGCGUACAACCAUUCGAAGAACCGGCGGCUCUGCUGUACGCGAUGGUGAAACCAUGAAAGGAGUAGUUUCGUGUCAAAUACACAAAUGGUGCACAAAUAUCAUUGCAAGGUGUAUUUGAAUAGUUUGUGUACCGUUUUAAGUUAUAUGUUCUCUUAAUUAUGUAUCAGCAUGAGCUCUUUCUUCGUAGAGUACCAAGAGUAUAUUCAUGGCAGUAGAGUUUUGAUGUUAAUUCUUUGCAUUGAAUAUUAAAGGGAAUCUGUAGCGGCAGUUAAGACGAUCUUUAGGCACGGUCUUUUAUCUUUGAAUAGGUGUGUGCGGAGCCUGAGGGGCAAUUAAAAGUGUCAUAGAAUAGAGCAAGGCUGCUGGGUGCUUGGUAGAGUAGCGGCUAUUGGUUGCAAUUCAUCGUUUUACACCCCUUUCCUUUCUGUAUUUCUAUAUGUUAGUUGAAAAGAGACAUUAGCUCUCACUAUGCGUUGAGCUGGGUUUUGAUUAAUUUCUUCAAGUUGCAUGAACUCUUCUGCGUCGUUGUUGAGUUGAGUUGUUCUGUAGCGUUAUUGCUCGAUAGGUCCUCUUCGAUUAGCUUCAUUAUAGUAUUUAGUUAUAUGCAGUAAUGAAUCUUCUCACUAAUCAAUCUAGAAUUGUUCGUGAGGGUGUAUUUUAUUUUCAUAAUGUCAGCAGAUUUAAUUCAGUGAAGCAAAAAAAUUUCUUCUUAGCUAGGUUUGGGAGAAGCACAAGAAAUAUGGCUUUGACAAACUUCAUACUGACAGUGGCGGGUGUGAGUGCUGUAGUUCUUUUAUUGAGGAGUGAUGUGAAACAGUCAGCUACCAUAUUUAGGCGGAACGUCAAACAUAUCCGCAAGUGGCUUGAAGAAGAAUCCAAGGCAGUCCCGAAGGAACUUGAAACAAAGGUUCCGCCGAAGGAUGUUCCCAAGGAGGACAAACACUAGUAUGGACAUGGGCACCCCGAGUGGUUCGCAGGAGUUUUAGUUAUUUUGGGAUCAGUCUUUGGAUUUUAUGUUCAUAAAUUGCUUAUCAUGCUUUUCCUAGUAGUUUUGGGUUUUUAGAUAUACUGAUUGUAACUAGUAACUACCGCGGGAGCUAUAUUUUCCUAAUCUGAGGUACCCUUCUCUAGGCAAGCUUAUCUUUGGAAGAGUGAUAUCCAUGGUUUUGCCACAAAUUGUAUGCCAUCUCCAGUGCACAAGAUUUUUAUUUUCCAAGAUUUGCUUGGUUCUGCAGUAAACUUUCUCCCCAGUUCUAGCUGCAUGUAGUUAUGUGAUUGGUAUUGGCAAUAAAAUAUCGAGUUACAUGAGGCACCAA